rnacentral:lncRNA from 1 species
AUUGUGGUGGACAAUUUCUUCACUGGAAGGAAGGAGAACGUGAUGCACCACUUUGGGAACCCUAGAUUCGAGCUCAUCCGGCACGACGUCGUGGAGCCUCUCCUGCUGGAGGUGGAUCAGAUCUACCAUCUCGCUUGCCCUGCUUCCCCUGUCCAUUACAAGUUCAACCCCGUCAAGACUAUCAUAUCCUUUUUUUUUUCUUUGUGCAUUUAAGUUUUCAGGAUCUGACCAUUGUUAUGCGAAAUUGGAGUCCUUAAUUGUGUCUACAAGACCAAUGUGGUGGGAACCUUGAACAUGCUUGGGCUUGCUAAGAGAGUGGGCGCGAGGUUCUUAUUGACCAGUACCAGUGAGGUUUAUGGAGAUCCUCUGCAG